AUGCGCGACUCCGAGCUGGCCAAAGAAGUUCGUCCCCUUUGUGAGGCCCGGGAUGGGAGGCGCCCGGUUCCCCCAGGGACAGCUUCAAGCGGUAGGGACAGACAUCUGAGGACCCAGCCUCAGGGAUGCUGUCCCCGGGCUUCCAGGCUCCAGCGCCGUAGGACUGAGGCAGACUCCACGGUGAGAAAGAGACCCGAUCUAACCCAGGCCUUUCAUCAGAGCCCAGGAGGGAAGGCAGGAAGUGGGACCACGAGGCCCGGGGGGCUUCUAACUCGUCUGGCCAGGGAGAUCUGAAUUGGGGUGAAGAGCAGAAUCUCCAGAACAAGGAGGAGGUGGUGAUCAUGGAGACAGAUUUGGCUGAAAUGCCUGAGAAAGGAGUUCUGUCUUCCCAGGAUUCUCCCCAUUUCCAAGAGAAGAGCACAGAAGAGGGAGAAGUGGCUGCUCUGCGCCUCACGGC
rnacentral:lncRNA from 1 species